rnacentral:rRNA from 1 species
GGGGAAUAUUGGACAAUGGGCGAAAGCCCGAUCCAGCCAUGCCGCGUGUGUGAAGAAGGUCUUCGGAUUGUAAAGCACUUUAAGUUGGGAGGAAGGGGUUGAAGCUAAUACCUUCAAUCUUUGACGUUACCAACAGAAUAAGCACCGGCUAACUCUGUGCCAGCAGCCGCGGUAAUACAGAGGGUGCAAGCGUUAAUCGGAAUUACUGGGCGUAAAGCGCGCGUAGGUGGUUCAGUAAGAUGGAAGUGAAAUCCCCGGGCUUAACCUGGGAACUGCUUUCAUAACUGCUGAGCUAGAGUACGGUAGAGGGUAGUGGAAUUUCCUGUGUAGCGGUGAAAUGCGUAGAUAUAGGAAGGAACACCAGUGGCGAAGGCGACUACCUGGACUGAUACUGACACUGAGGUGCGAAAGCGUGGGGAGCAAAC